GAGUUUGUUGCGGUUUUUAAAUUUUCAGAUGAAAAGCUCAAGGAGGGAAAUAAUUUAAGAGGAGAUUUAUGGUACUGAGAACAUUUAACAUGAUUGCUUUUCUGAGUCAAGACACAGCGCUCAGCCUCCCGGGAACUCUGCUACAGAGAACACACAACCAGCCUCCAUUGUCACUAAUACCUCCAUUCGGCCCCACCACCCCAUCAAACGCAACCCUCCGAUGGGGACUGUUCCAGAAAACUGGACGACAUCUGAAGAACUCUUCCUUGGCCAUCAGCUCCAGACCCCCGCCACUGUUACAGAACCCGCUCUGGACCACCCUGUAGAAGAGCCAAGCGGUACUCGGAGAUCUUGGAAGGCAGGAGACCAGGCCCCCUGACGUGUCACAGGACCAGGCACAGCCUCUGUCUAUCCCUUAGUAGUGGGCUUCAGUCCCCCACCCGCCCACAGAAUCACUCCCAACAGAUCACAUCCUCCUGCAAGAACCAAUGGACACCCCGCCCUCUUGUUCCUACAACGCCUUCCCUGGUCCCGCGGUCCUGUUCCCGAGUGCGAUCUCCGUACAGUUCCACGCGGCAGGCAGUGUCCUCUUCCAAGGCUGCGAGUCCGUGUAACUCACAAACUAAGGCUGGUCCUGAUUGUCCGUGUCCCUCUCAUGGGUCUGGCCAUCUCCAUCACCCUAUGGCAGGAGCCUCUUCCUCACCAGUGGGGACGAAUAGGAGAAAAUUAAAACAGAUACAGAAGGAAAUAUAGCUAAUGAAAAGUGCCUUGGCAGGUUACUACUUAGAGCUGCUGGGUAUCUGUCCUAAGACCCUCUCGAGAGUUCUGGGGGCCAGAGUAGAAACACCAACCCGGUGUGCUGAAAGAGCUAACUUUGCCAGGUACGGUUGAGGGCUGCCCCUGGGGCAUUCACCUCCCACACCAGACACGGGGAGGCUCUGCCAGCCAGAGCGAGCCCUGAGGCAGAGAUGCAGAGCCGGCAGGUGGGUCUGCUGGCAGGACAGCUGUGAGGGGGUACGGGCAGAGGCCCCUGGAGCAGUGGGAAAGAGCAGUGGUCCAUUUGGCCAAAAUCCUGUUAGCUCCCAAGUUGUUCUGCAAAAUUCACUAAUCCGCACAUCUUUUGGCACCAAUAAAGCUCUAGGGAAGAAAAGAGGAUUGGUAAAGGGAAAAAAGAAAAACGUUGAUGGUCUGAUAGAGUCGCUAAUUCACUUCUCUACCCACGAGCAAUCAGGAACGACAUCUUCUUGGCUGGGGCUUCUCAGACUCUAGCACGUAUCAAGGUCACCUGGAAGGCGUGGGGCUCAACUCCAGAGUCUCUCCUCAAGCAGGCUGGUGGGAGGCCUGAGAGCCCGCAUUUCUAACAAGUUCCCUGGUGGUGCUGAUGCUGGUGGUCCAGGGACCACAGCUGGCCCGAAGCCAGGGCCCUGCCACCAAAGGUCUUCAAACACGGAGCUGUGGAGACCUGGCAUUCAUGAUAAGGAUGUGACAGAGUCAAAAUGACAUUACAGCAAGUCUCCUCAACAGACGGAUGGACCAUCGAAGCAUGAGGUUAAAUAAAAGAAGAACAAUCAGCAGCUUUAUCUUUGCAGCAUUAUAAUUCGAGGAGACAAUGAGAUUUCCUUUAUACAGAUCACGUCCAGGUAAGAGCAAGUAAGGACAGUAAGGAUGGCAGCUAAACCUGUAUUCACACAAAGUCCUGGACAUUUUUUCCAUGAUGGGUGACCAGGGGCUUCCUAAAGAGAUGGUAUUGAGAACUGGAGUCAGGGUCACUCUUUCCCGGGCGACAACUGGGCACUUCUCUGUUGAUAAGGAAAUGUCUUGCGCUUGCCUUUAUUUAUUUAUUUAUUUAUUUAUUUAUUUAUUUAUUUAGAGACAGAGAGAGACAGAGCAUGAACGGGGGAGGGGCAGAGAGAGAGGGAGACACAGAAUCGGAAACAGGCUCCAGGAUCCGAGCCAUCAGCCCAGAGCCCGACGCGGGGCUCGAACUCACGGACCGCGAGAUCGUGACCUGAGCUGAAGUCGAAUGCUUAACCGACUGAGCCACCCAGGCGCCCCAACACUUGCCUUUAUUCCUCUAGUCUGACAGGAGUCUGGUUUUGCCUUUGGAAACAGCCCCAGUGUCUUGAUCUCACGGAAGGUCCCGCUUGCGCAUAAAAAGAGGACCACCUGACUAGCCCUUUAACUUUGGCCUCUGAAUUCAAGUGCUCAAGAUGCUAUCCCCAGAUCCAUUACUGUUUAAAAAGAAAGGAGAGGAAAAGCCUGAAAUCUCACCAUCAGGUGACAUAGGAAAGCCCAUCACAGUGCUCUUGCUGAGAUGUGAGACAGUGUAUCGAUACAAAGCACAAGGAAGUCUUUCCUCCCCGAAAUCUCUACUGAACCUUGGCAUCCAGCCCCCAAAGGAGCUUUUCCUCAGAAGCUCUAGCUUCCCCGGCCAUUAUUGAAAGGGCCAGGCUCAUCAUUCAUACAACUGUCAUCUUUCAAAUGCGUAUUGAGUGCCUUCUGUGUGAUAGGUAAUGUGCAUUCUACAAGAGCAUAUUCAGAACGCGGUCUGACAGGUGUAAGAGGCUCCUGCGAGGGCCUAUGUGCCCAGGGAGAUCCAGUUGAAAUCCUGCCAUUUCAGAUGCAUUCCUUGCUAGUGAGGUACGAGGUCUUGAAGGGACUUCCAAUGACCUGAAAUACACCUGGUGAGCACCCCAAUACUGACCUGAAUCCUACAGGAACACCUCGGUGGACAUUAACACACGAUCCUGUUUGCCAAUCCGGAUGGUUCAGCACAGAACCACGCAGGUAUGAUACAGAAAAGGCAAUCUGGUGGUGGGAAACACGGGGUAUAAAAUGUGCGAAGAAGCAGUGAGACAUCAGCAUUAGGGGAGGUGCUCCAAUGCACGACCCGAAAAGCGAGGGCGAAACAGUAAUGCCCUAGAGGUGGUGGGCGAUCCAAGGAGCCCUGGGUGCUCCCGGCAGGAAAAGAAGGCUCUGAAGGGUCUAUUUCACAAUUCCGCAUACAAAUCGAGAGCGAGGCUGCCAGUCUGUGUGUGUGUCUUCCUGCUCCCUGUCCCUGGGGAGGCAAAGUCAGACAUCUUCUAGGAGGUCAGCCGAAAGGAGAGGCGGACCCGAAGACAAAUGGAAUCAGCAGGAAGGCUUUUCUCUCUGCCUGAGACACAGCCGUCUCCUUGUAUGAAGACAAGAACCAAGAUCAUUGUAUUUAUUGUCAGAGCGUUUCGAGGCAUUGCUUUGACUCGAUUUUAAGCUCUGUUAACUUUCAGCAUUAUCCCUCUAAGUUUUCGUCCCUUGCUAGCUGAGCGACUAACCCCCUCUGAAUGCCCAUUUCUUUCAACAGAAAUACUCGGCCAGGUAUUCCAAAGGCUGCUGCGUUGACGGAGAAGCAGUUCGUGAAAAGUGUCAAGCUGGGCCCGGCUCCUUGUAACUGAGUGUGAGCUUCCAAAAUCCGCAUCCCUCCCUCCCCGCUCUGUGCUCCCCCCAGCCCAUUCGCAGUCAUGAUGACUGUUUUCUCUCUGGAGUCUAGACAGCAUUAGACACCCUAAUACUUUCAUUCAUUCAUUCGGCAAAUACUUGUUCUCAUUUGUGAUACAACAUUGAAGUAAAUGCCGGAGACACAAAAAUGACAGGCAGAGCCCCGCUCACGCAUAGCUCUCUGUCUCCCCAGGGGAUGGGCAAAUACAGAGUCCAUUUACCGGAGUGUGAUAAUGAGCUAUUCCAGAGAAACACAAAGGGAGGGAGUUAGAAUCAGGAGGAGAGGCAGCUGGGACGGUCCCCAAGGGGAGAGGCAGCUCAGCUAGGUUUCCAGGGAAGAGCUAAGGAAUGACACAGGUAGACAAGGGAGUGAAAGAAACAGCAAAUGUGAGGGCACAGAGGACAGAGAGUGAGACGCCUCUGAACGCUAGGAAAGGGGCCAGAGAGGCAACAAUGAAGGACGGGAAGGCGACGGUGGAUGACAGGAACAGCCAAAAUGCUGGCAUCACGAGAGGCAAAAAGGGAACCAUUCAGAAAGGAAAGGAGGGGUCCGAUCGGAGGAAGUAAGUAGUACGGGAACCAAGAAGUGUUUGUCCGCUACGUUGCUGAGAAUCUCAGCAAGGAGAGUCAGAGAGCAGCAGGGGCAGAAGUCAGUCCACAACAACGUGGGAAGUGAAACAGAGUCGAGCAUAAACAUACCACAUGGCUUUUGUGGCCAGAUCUGCACCACCUCCCCCCUGUCCCUGCCCACCACCGCCUGUCGUGUCGGGGAGUCAUGGUCACAACAAGGCAGUAAGCACAGAGGCGCACUGCUGUUGGCUUAUGGCUGGUAUUUGCGGAAAAGUCUUCCUACAUCCGUAUUUCACACUUUGAAGUAUAUCUAUUGCCCUUAUAGCUUAUGACCUCUUCCACAUUUAUACAGCCGUUUGGAGAUAAACCAUUGGAGAUAAACCAUUACCACCACUAACCCCACUACCGACCCAUACCUCCACAUACUCCUGGGUGCUCAUUCCGCUUUGAUCUGGACCUGGUCUGGGGCUUCAUUUCGCAUCUUGGACUGUUCUGCAGCACCCUCUCCUUCCAAGUAUCUAUAUUCUUUAUAACAGGGUUACACGAAACACUUGCUCAAUGUGCCUGGGGGCUCCCCCUUGUGGCAGAGAGCAUAUCGACAGUCCCAAAGCCAUUCACAAAGCCCCUUUGCAUUCCUCAGGCAGGAAAGCUGGAAGGUUGAUCUUUCUAGACUUCUUUGCAGCCAGGCAAGGCGUGUGACAAUUAUGGCCCAAAAGAUUUAGGCACAAAUCUCUGGGUAGGGGUUUUGUUUCCAAGUAUACAGGUGACGCCUCAUUAGGAAAAAGCUCUUUGUCUUGGACCCUUCCCUCUUCUAGGCAAUGCAGACCAUCCAGCUGCCAUUUGCAGACAUGAGGAAAAGAACCACACACACACACACACACACACACACACACUCAGAAUGAUGGAGAGGAGCCCUGGGACUCUGAUGACGUUGGGGAGUCGCUACACCAGUCUGAGCUGCUACCUAAGGACUCCUGCUAAGCGAGAAGCGUAAACCUGUUACUGAACUAGCUAAAGAUGAUUUAUUCUUGGGGCACCUGGGUGGCUCAGUUGGUUAAGCAUCUGACUUUGGCUCAGGUCAUGAUCUCAUGCUUCAUGAGUUCGAGCCCCGCAUCAGGUUCUCUGUUGUUGCAACACGGCAUGCUUUGGAUCCUCUGUCCCUCCCUCUCUCUGCCCCUCCCCUGCUCAUGCGCACUCUCUCUUUCUCUCAAAAUAAAUACAUAAACUUUAAAACAUAAAUAAAGAUGAUUUACUCCCAAGUGCGUCACUCGUGGAAGCAUCCCAGGCAGGCACUUGGUUGGUGGCCACUGUUCUGUGUGGCCCCUUGAAAAUGGAGAGCCCUCCCAUGGCCAUGCUACCGUGGGAGGAUCCGUCACUUGGCAGUUCGAAGUGUAAACAAAUGAACCUUGGCCUCACUGUUUGGUGUCUCUAGUACACCCACAGCUUCUGCCAAGAACACGUCCUCUCAGACACCCUGAAGUCUGAUUUGAUGGGUUCCUGGAUACUCUUGGUUCCUGGACAAAAACAGGAGAAGGACCCAGAAGCUUGCCUGGGUUUGAAAGCAUGAAGUUGCAUGGGUCACACCUACGAAAGUGGGCAUGUGCCCCCAACCCAGUGAUAUAAAAUUACAGAAGGAGGGGAGAAGCAGGGCAGGACGAAGGGAUGGGGGAAAGAAGGUCUACCGGGAUCCAGAGACGAGCAGGCAGGGUCCUGAAGCC